CCUACGGGUGGCAGCAGUGAGGAAUAUUGGUCAAUGGACGAGAGUCUGAACCAGCCAAGUCGCGUGAAGGAUGACUGCCCUAUGUGUUGUAAACUUCUUUUAUCAAGGAAUAAAACCAGGCACUUGUCCCUUUUUGCGUGUACUUUAUGAAUAAGGAUCGGCUAACUCCGUGCCAGCAGCCGCGGUAAUACGGAGGAUCCGAGCGUUAUCCGGCUUUAUUGGGUUUAAAGGGAGAGUAGAUGGGUUGUUAAGUCAGUUGUGAAAGUUUGCGGCUCAACCGUAACAGUGCAAUUGAUACUGGCAGUCGUGAGUACAGGUGAGGUAGGCGGAAUUCGUGGUGUAGCGGUGAAAUGCUUAGAUAUCACGAAGAACCCCGAUUGCGAAGGCAGCUUACUAACCUGUGACUGACAUUGAUGCACGAAAGUGUGGGUAUCAAACAGGAUUAGAUACCCUAGUAGUC
rnacentral:rRNA from 1 species